GGUGAACGCUGGCGGCGUGCCUAAUACAUGCAAGUCGAGCGAACAGACGAGGAGCUUGCUCCUCUGACGUUAGCGGCGGACGGGUGAGUAACACGUGGAUAACCUACCUAUAAGACUGGGAUAACUUCGGGAAACCGGAGCUAAUACCGGAUAAUAUAUUGAACCGCAUGGUUCAAUAGUGAAAGACGGUUUUGCUGUCACUUAUAGAUGGAUCCGCGCCGCAUUAGCUAGUUGGUAAGGUAACGGCUUACCAAGGCAACGAUGCGUAGCCGACCUGAGAGGGUGAUCGGCCACACUUGAACUGAGACACGGUCCAGACUCCUACGGGAGGCAGCAGUAGGGAAUCUUCCGCAAUGGGCGAAAGCCUGACGGAGCAACGCCGCGUGAGUGAUGAAGGUCUUCGGAUCGUAAAACUCUGUUAUUAGGGAAGAACAAAUGUGUAAGUAACUAUGCACGUCUUGACGGUACCUAAUCAGAAAGCCACGGCUAACUACGUG
rnacentral:rRNA from 1 species